CAGACGGGUGAGUAACGCGUGGGAAUCUACCCAUCUCUACGGAAUAACGCAUGGAAACGUGUGCUAAUACCGUAUACGUCCUUCGGGAGAAAGAUUUAUCGGAGAUGGAUGAGCCCGCGUUGGAUUAGCUAGUUGGUGGGGUAAAGGGCCUACCAAGGCGACGAUCCAUAGCUGGUCUGAGAGGAUGAUCAGCCACACUGGGACUGAGACACGGCCCAGACUCCUACGGGAGGCAGCAGUGGGGAAUAUUGGACAAUGGGCGCAAGCCUGAUCCAGCCAUGCCGCGUGAGUGAUGAAGGCCCUAGGGUUGUAAAGCUCCUUCACCGGUGAAGAUAAUGACGGUAACCGGAGAAGAAGCCCCGGCUAACUUCGUGCCAGCAGCCGCGGUAAUACGAAGGGGGCUAGCGUUGUUCGGAUUUACUGGGCGUAAAGCGCACGUAGGCGGACUAUUAAGUCAGGGGUGAAUCCCGGGGCUCAACCCCGGAACUGCCUUUGAUACUGGUAGUCUUGAGUUCGAGAGAGGUGAGUGGAAUUCCGAGUGUAGAGGUGAAAUUCGUAGAUAUUCGGAGGACACCAGUGGCGAAGGCGGCUCACUGGCUC
rnacentral:rRNA from 1 species